CAGUGCUCUUGGGGGAAAAAAAAUAAGGUGUAAAUGUUUUGGAAGAAAUACCUUAGUUGGUUCUCCUGCCAGGGAAACUGUGGAUACUUCCAGGGAGUGGAAGCGUGGCUUGAAAGUCUGUUGCCUACGUUUGUUCAGCCAGACCAUUCUUCAGUUGCAGGGGAAACACCUGAUCCAGCCUGGACUUGUCACACAGUCACCCUGAGCCCCUAAAGAAGCCAUUAUCUGGCAACAGCAGAUUGGGACCGUCUGUCACGGCAGGGUACACAUGGCUCCACGAAAUGGGGGCUCUCUCGCCCGUGCCUCGGCGUCCACAGACCGGCCUGGGCAGGCGUCAAGUCUGGCUGCAUGACAAUCAGCUGAGCUACACUAUAAACGCAGAUCCUCGGCCUCCCGUCCAGAAGUCUGGGUGCACGCAUUGCCAAAGCUCCCUGGGGCACCCAACCGUCAGCAGCCAAUGGGCAGGCUGCCCUGCUGACCUGGCGCAGGAAGGCGUGGCCCAGGACCGCGCAGGCUCCCUACAGGAGAGCCUGAGGAGGUGUGAUUACCCGGAUCACCGAGAACAGGGCAUGUUCCAGGCUACACUCUUGAGAAGUGUUCACGACACGGGAGUUUCCCCGUCUCCGCACAGGGAAAGCAAGUGUCUCUUACAGAUGACUCGUGCUGGCUCCCAUCUCUCCCUCCCGCUCCCCUGGACUGGAGGAGGAAAAGGACAAGGAGUAGCAGCCGCUCACCUCCUGCCUCCUCACCCCUCCCUCCCGCAGCAAAGUGAAUCAGAGACUCAGCAAACAGCUGGAUAAUUCAGCACUUGGCCCCAGGGCACUAAUGGGGCCAACCAGCCUGUACUUUCACCUGCUGUGGCUCCACACGCACUUCUCUCCAGCUUAAGUCUGAAAGCACCUAGUGUAUUGAUGGAUGUGAUAAGCUGCGUGUGCAUUUGCUUUGGUUGGAAAGCAAGGUCAAGAGCUCUCCUGCUUUAUUAACAUUUAGGUGAGUGUCCUGGGGCCAUUAAGCAAAGCUGAAUUAAAGCAAAG
rnacentral:lncRNA from 1 species